rnacentral:rRNA from 1 species
UACGUAGGGUGCGAGCGUUAAUCGGAAUUACUGGGCGUAAAGCGUGCGCAGGCGGUUCGUUAUGUCCGAUGUGAAAGCCCCGAGCUUAACUUGGGAAUGGCAUUGGAAACUGGCGGGCUGGAGUGCGGCAGAGGGGGGGUGGAAUUCCACGUGUAGCAGUGAAAUGCGUAGAGAUGUGGAGGAACACCGAUGGCGAAGGCAGCCCCCUGGGCCGACACUGACGCUCAGGCACGAAAGCGUGGGGAGCAAACAGG